rnacentral:tRNA from 1 species
CGUUCUGUAGCUUUGUUGGUUAAAGCACCGGUCUAGCGUAGACGAAGUCGUGAGUUCGAGUCUCACUAAAACGC